AUGUUCAAACAACUCUGCAUCUCUGCCCAGCCUGGCAAGAGUGGCCCUUUCUAUCAGCAGUUCCUAUCCACCGCUUUCUAUCCAUCCCUUUCUAUCCAUCCCUUUCUAUCCAUCCCUUUCUAUCCACCCCUUUCUAUCCAUUACUUUCUAUCCAUCUCUUUCAAUCCACCCCUUUCUAUCCACCCCUUUCUAUCCACCCCUUUCUAUCCACCACUUUCUAUCCAUCUCUUUCAAUCCACCCCUUGCUAUCCACCCAUUUCUAUCCACCCCUUUCUAUCCACCACUUUCUAUCCACAACGUUCUAUCCACCCCUUUCUGUCAGCACUUUCUAUCCACCCCUUUCUAUCAGCAUUUUCUAUCCAUCCCUUUCUAUUCACCCCUUUCUGUCCACCCCUUUCUAUCCACCCUUUUCUAUCCAUCCCUGUCUAUCAGCAGUUUCGAUCCACCCCUUUCUAUCCAUCCCUUUCUAUCCACCCCUUUCUAUCAGCACUUUCUGUCCACCACUUUCUAUCAGCACUUUCUAUCCAGCACUUUCUAUACACCACUUUCUAUCAGCACUUUCUAUCCAUCCUUUUCUAUCCACCCCUUUCUAUCAGCACUUUCUUUCCACCACUUUCUAUCAGCACUUUCUAUCAGCACUUUCUAUCCACCACUGUCUAUCAGCACUUUCUAUCAGCACUUUCUAUCCACCCCUUUCUAUCAGCAGUUUAUAUCCACCCCUUUCUAUCCACCCCUUUCUAUCCACCCUUUUCUAUCCAUCCCUGUCUAUCAGCAGUUUCGAUCCACCCCUUUCUAUCCAUCCCUUUCUAUCCAUCCCGUUCUAUCCAUCCCUUUUUAUCCACCCCUUUCUAUCCACCCCUUUCUAUCCAACGCUUUCUAUCAACCCCUUUCUAUCAGCAGUUUCUAUCCAUCCCUUUCUAUCCACCCCUUUCUAUCAGCACUUUCUGUCCACCACUUUCUAUCAGCACUUUCUAUCCAACACUUUCUAUACACCACUUUCUAUCAGUACUUUCUUUCCACCACUUUCUAUCUACCACUUUCUAUCAACCACUUUCUAUUAGCUCUUUCUAUCCACCA
rnacentral:lncRNA from 8 species